rnacentral:tRNA from 1 species
GCCGGGGUAGCUCAGCCUGGUUAGAGUGCCAGACUCAUAAUCUGGAGGUCGCGGGUUCGAAACCCGCCUCCGGCA